rnacentral:rRNA from 1 species
AAGUCAGGGGAAACCCUGAUGGAGGUCCGUAGCGAUUCUGACGUGCAAAUCGAUCGUCGGAACUGGGUAUAGGGGCGAAAGACUAAUCGAACCAUCUAGUAGCUGGUUCCCUCCGAAGUUUCCCUCAGGAUAGCUGGCACUCGCUCUGAGCGAGUCUCAUCUGGUAAAGCGAAUGAUUAGAGGCCUUGGGGCCGAAACGACCUCAACCUAUUCUCAAACUUUAAAUGGGUGAGAUCUCUGGCUUGCUUGAAACUUGAAGCCACGAGAUUAUAAUGGAUCAGAGUGCCAAGUGGGCCAAUUU